rnacentral:lncRNA from 1 species
UGAACAUCAGAAGACGAUGUUGUCAUACGAUAUUUAUGCAGAUGUUGUUCCAUAGCAAAUCACCUCUUCUAAUUAAAUUGUUUGAAUAUUUAGUCAUACGAUAUUUAUGCAGAUGUUGUUCCAUAGCAAAUCACCUCUUCUAAUUAAACUGUUUGAAUAUUUAGUCAUAUGAUAUUUAUGCAGAUGUUGUUCCAUAGCAGUGUAUAACACUACACUAGAAUCUGUGUUCGAGCUCAGUUCUUGCAUGUCAUGUGUCAAAUAUUUACAUUGUAUGAAUAAACUUGGGAUGGCAGGCAUUUAUGAUGUUUUCUAUAUUGCGGAAUCAAUUAUCCAUGUACAUGCAACACUUUUGAAUUUUAAUACUCUCGUAUGUAUGCAAGUUAUGUAUAACAUGUUUCUAUUUGCGUUUCCUCUCUUCAUGCUGAGUUCUCCUGGAUUCGGAGAAAAAGCUGGCCAGUGUCGUCCCGAUUGCCAAAUGUGUGGUCAGAUUUUCUAUUUGCAGUCAGUAAUGAGAAAGCUGAGUAAGGACUAAGGAGAACAAAAAAUCUUCCUGCAAGGUCAAGAUGGUGAAGAGAAGGUUUGGCUUGGACGGACAGUAUAUGUAAUCUUUAAGGAGACAAGUUCUUAUAUUGCCUCAAAUGGCAAGAGAUGUGGAAUUCCAUCGAUUUUUGCUCGAAAUAGUGUAUAGAAAUGGGUUCUUUGCAAGAAAGAAUUGCUUCUACUAAAAAGGCGGACGGAAACCAUAUGUUUGAUUGUGCUCGAUGCCUACCUAUCAACAAUAUAACAUCGUUUGAUCAAUGUCUAGGAACUAUUUUUUGCGGGACAUAGCAAUGAAUUGGAU